UCAGAGAGGGGAUGUGACUUGCCCAAGGCCACGUCUCUAGAAAGGGGUGGCAAUGAGGUUUGCCUCCCAGACGCCUCUGCGGUUCCUCUCUCCCCACACUGCCCGUCGGCAGAAUGAAGGGCCCAGCUACGAGGCCAAGCUGUAGGUUAGGAGUAACUGUUUCUUAAGAAAGUCCAGGCCGGACGCGGUGGCUGACGCCUGUAAUCCCAGCACUUUUGGAGGCCGAGGCGGGCAGAUCACUUGAGAGCGACUCUUCACGGCUUCUCCUCUUCCCCGGUGACGAUGACAGCCAGCGAUGGGCCGACAGCCUACUCUCAACCUGGCCUGGGUCUGGUGGCCCCAGCGUGAGAUCACCAUAGUGAGCAACCUGGUCUCCAUAGCAACCAGCUGUGACAUCACAAGGAACCCAUGGACCCUGGAGCUGGAAGAGAGGAAGCUUGAAUGCCUGUUUGGGGAAGAAAGCCUUUGCUCCCCCUCCUUCGGCCUCUCCUGUGAUAGGGGAAGAGGACAUAGAAACGCUGAGAGAGCCAGGGCCUCCGCUUCUCUGGAGGUUUGAGCGGGGUCUACUCGAAAUCCUUCCCUUCCUCUCUUUGUCCCCGUUCUCCUCAUCCCUCAAAAAAUAUGUAUCUCAUUUUCCUCAACUGUAAAAUGGGGACAUUAGAAGCCGCUCUUGAGUGUUUAUUAUAUGCCAGGCACUAUUAUAAGCAUCUUGCAUGGAUUUUCUCAUUUACUUCAUAACAACCCUAUAAAGUACUUUCUUCUUAGUAUUCCCCCUUCUGUAAGUGGAGGGAAAGGAAGCACAGCAGAAGGAUUGGAAUCAAGACAGCCUGGCUCCAGAGCCUGUUUUCAUAACUACGAGAGAAUGCACCAGAUUCCUUCUGAACGCCGCCUGCCACGUGCGCGGCUACAACUCUAUUUCCAGCCAUGCUGUGGCAAGCAGUUCCGGGCGGGCUUCAGCUCCCUUUGCACCACCAGCACCUCGCCUCCUGUCAGCAUGAGGCGGUUUUCAUUUUCUGCCCGGGGGCUUCCGCAGCACCCCAACACAAGGCUGGUAGGAGCGGGCUCAGCGGGAGGACUUGUGGAGGGAAGUUGCUUCCACUGAGCCAGCCUCAACCUGGGGUGCACAGGCGCCACCGGGUGAAUGCUUCUGCCAGGCGGUCAUCUGGCCCACAAGGUCCCUCUGUGCACUGCUUGGAAGGUCCUCUGUGCACUGCUUGGAAGGUCCUGGCAGCGCUGAGUCCCAGACACCCAUGGCAUGACCUAAUAAUGCACCGUUAUCUUGGCUCUUCUGCUUUCUCUUUUUUCCCAUUGGUAUUUGUCCCUCAUUUCUGGUCCCUAGAAUGACUUCCAAAAUAAAUUCCCUAUACACAA